GAGUUUGAUUCUGGCUCAGAAUGAACGUUGGCGGCGUGGAUUAGGCAUGCAAGUCGAGCGAGAAGGUUUAGAAAGAUACUUCGGUUGAUUUCUAAACUGGACAGCGGCGAAAGGGAGAGUAACGCGUAAAUACGUACCCAAAUUAUAUGGAAUAGCGGGGGGAAACCGCCGGUAAUGCCGCAUGAUGUCUCCGGACCAAAGAUUUAUCGCCUUUGGAGCGGUUUGCGUACUAUUAGCUUGUUGGUGGGGUAAAGGCCUACCAAGGCGAUGAUGGUUAGCGGGCGUGAGAGCGUGGCCCGUCUCACUGGGACUGAGACACUGCCCAGACACCUACGGGUGGCUGCAGUCGAGAAUCUUCGGCAAUGGACGAAAGUCUGACCGAGCGACGCCGCGUGCGGGAUGAAGGCCUUCGGGUUGUAACCGCUGUCAGAGGGGAGCAAAUUUUGAGCGAUCCUCGAAGGAAGCACAAGGCUAAGUUCGUGGCCAGCAGCCGCGGUAUUCGAACUGGUGCAAACGUUAUUCGGAAUCCCUGGGCUUAAGGGUGCGUAGGCGCCUUGUAGGUCUGAUGUGAAUCCCACGGCUUCACCGUGGAACUGCGUUGGA
rnacentral:rRNA from 1 species